rnacentral:rRNA from 1 species
CCUACGGGAGGCAGCAGUGGGGAAUAUUGGGCAAUGGUCGCAAGCCUGACCCAGCAACGCCGCGUGAAGGAAGAAGGCUUUCGGGUUGUAAACUUCUUUUCUGAGGGACGAAGAAAGUGACGGUACCUCCGGAAUAAGCCACGGUUAACUACGUGCAAGCAGCCGCGGUAAUACGGAGGUGGCAAGAGUUAUCCGGAUUUAUUGGGUGUAAAGGGCGUGUGGGGGGGAAAGCAAGUCAGAUGUGAAAACUCAGGGCUCAACCCUGAGCCUGCCUUUGAAACUGUUUUUCUUGAGUGGUAGAGAGGCAAGCGGAAUUCCGGGUGUAGCGGUGAAAUGCGUAGAUAUACGGAGGAACACCAGUGGCGAAGGCAGAUUGCUGGACAGUAACUGACGCUGAGGCGCGAAAGCGUGGGGAGCAAACAGGAUUAGAUACCCCAGUAGUC